rnacentral:rRNA from 1 species
AUUGAACGCUGGCGGCAGGCCUAACACAUGCAAGUCGAGCGGAUGACGGGAGCUUGCUCCUUGAUUCAGCGGCGGACGGGUGAGUAAUGCCUAGGAAUCUGCCUGGUAGUGGGGGACAACGUUUCGAAAGGAACGCUAAUACCGCAUACGUCCUACGGGAGAAAGCAGGGGACCUUCGGGCCUUGCGCUAUCAGAUGAGCCUAGGUCGGAUUAGCUAGUUGGUGGGGUAAUGGCUCACCAAGGCGACGAUCCGUAACUGGUCUGAGAGGAUGAUCAGUCACACUGGAACUGAGACACGGUCCAGACUCCUACGGGAGGCAGCAGUGGGGAAUAUUGGACAAUGGGCGAAAGCCUGAUCCAGCCAUGCCGCGUGUGUGAAGAAGGUCUUCGGAUUGUAAAGCACUUUAAGUUGGGAGGAAGGGCAGUAAGUUAAUACCUUGCUGUUUUGACGUUACCGACAGAAUAAGCACCGGCUAACUCUGUGCCAGCAGCCGCGGUAAUACAGAGGGUGCAAGCGUUAAUCGGAAUUACUGGGCGUAAAGCGCGCGUAGGUGGUUUGUUAAGUUGGAUGUGAAAGCCCCGGGCUCAACCUGGGAACUGCAUCCAAAACUGGCAAGCUAGAGUACGGUAGAGGGUGGUGGAAUUUCCUGUGUAGCGGUGAAAUGCGUAGAUAUAGGAAGGAACACCAGUGGCGAAGGCGACCACCUGGACUGAUACUGACACUGAGGUGCGAAAGCGUGGGGAGCAAACAGG